UACGAAGGGGGCUAGCGUUUCUCGGAAUCACUGGGCGUAAAGGGUGCGUAGGCGGGUCUUUAAGUCAGGGGUGAAAUCCUGGAGCUCAACUCCAGAACUGCCUUUGAUACUGAAGAUCUUGAGUUCGGGAGAGGUGAGUGGAACUGCGAGUGUAGAGGUGAAAUUCGUAGAUAUUCGCAAGAACACCAGUGGCGAAGGCGGCUCACUGGCCCGAUACUGACGCUGAGGCACGAAAGCGUGGGGAGCGAACCGG
rnacentral:rRNA from 1 species